rnacentral:lncRNA from 1 species
CUCUCUAGUUGGGGUGCCUGUGAAACCGGCAGGCUCUCUCCAAAUGCCUGGAUUCUGCUGGGGGAGUAAGAAGUCAGGAGUAGUUUGUCUGAUGGUAUUGGGAUCUGCUUUGCAAUUGCCAAGCGCUAAGGCACAAGCUGGCAGAUGUGCUGCGGCUCUGCUACGGGCGGCUCUGUCGCCUUCAGUCGCAGGCUGGUUCUUUGGGGGAAAGUUGUAUCCAAUAUUGGUGACUCCCGGGAAUAGUCUGUUUGUGUGCUACUUAAUGGUCUCUAGGCUUCCUUGUCUUGUAGAACCUUGUUAGAAAGGAGCCUUGGUGAUUAAGAGGCUAUGGAGUACACAGCCUUGCUUAGCAGAUGAGCCCUUAUCCAUUUCCCGUUUCCUUAAAAACGGCUAAUUGAUGGAUGCUGCAGAAAACAUGCACUCUGCUAAUAAGAUGCUGAUGACAAAAUAGGUAUCAGGAAAGGCAUUUACUGCUUAUGAGCACCAUCAGCUUUCUUUCGAGUGAGAUUGUGGCUUUGUAGUAAAGUUUUUUUUUAAGUAAUAUGCUAAUAGUUUUAUUCUAAAUCGGCCAGCGCUGAAUAUCUUCAGGAAAAUGGGUUCCAUGAGAAGUGACAUCCUCCUCGAAUCAAAAGAUUCUCAGGAUGAUGGAGUGAGUGAUGGAAUAGGUUGCCAACUGUAGUUACUCCACUCAGCACAGAAUGGCUGCGGGGAAAUAUAAUCAGACAUGCCCAAAGAAGUCUGCUUAGGGUGAAACAAAUACCUUUGAGGUUUAAAUCAGAAAGGAAGGAGAGACUGUUUCUACAGGUGUCAUACAAAAAUCAAUACUGAGCCAAGGAUUAUUGGAUCCCAUAGAACCACGGAGACUUGGUAGUGAAAUUCUUCCAAAGGCAGAUGGUGUUCCUAGGUUUGGAAAUAUAAAUCCCAUGGGAAGUCAGCUGAAGACCAUUUUAUGCAUCACUCAUCCUGUUAGAGCCCUGUGCUGUUCUGUCUCUCUAUAAGACUGGCUGAAACCACCACGGUUGUUUACAAUUUAUGCUCUAACUUUGGAUCACCUAGUUAAUACUCUAACUCCGAUUAUUACCAAAGACAAUGUUCUAUAAAAGAUAUUGUCUAUUAGAAGGAUGCUUCUGCAUUAUUAAUAAAAUCACAGGGAAAAUGCAACAUUUUGGAUGUCACAUCUGAUAAGUUGGCAGUUAAAGAACAGAAACAGCAAUAAGACUGCGUGGCUACAUUUUCCCAGUGCCACCAACUGGGAUUUAAGCUGACUAACAUUUUGAAAGCCCAGCCCAUUUCAUUCACAGCAGGAUGGCAGUGGGUGACUGAUCGUACCCGCCAGCUGGCUAAUGUCAUAAUUAACAAAGUUGCUACUACAUCUGCAAAGUUUAAUCGAAAAAUUUGCCAGUGAUAUGAUGGCCUUGUCACAGAGAUCACAAGGGACACGGAGUUGACUUUUGCUCAAGGUGGAACGACAGAGCUGUGUAGGCAAGAUGAGAAAUUGCGAACUUGUUCGGCCAAAGGAGGCUAAUAAUGAAGGGGCCGGGAAGGAGGCCAGUGCUACCAGGGUUAUCUCACAACCUCAGAUGCUGGAUAAGUCGACGGAGGCAGAAUCGCUUUGGGAUGACAUUCAGAAAGCCUGGAGUGAUUACUUGCAAGAGAAAAGCCUACCUAUUCUUUCCAAGGUGCAGGAAUAUUCCCCUGACCUGCUCAUCCAGUGGUCCAGUAAUGAAUUACUGGAGACCUGCCUUAGACAAAGAAUGCACUCGGAGCCCCAACACACCUAAAGCCAUGCUUUGAAGGAUCUGCCAAGCUCACUUUUAAUCAUGAGAAAGAAAUUACCCACACGGAGUCAGCAGAAAAUGAGAAAGUAGAGCUCGUGCUGUGAAUAAUUCCAGCAAGUGCCAAGGGGCUAGUUGAGGAAUGGCUUCAUGAGAUCAAACACUAGCUGAAUUG